rnacentral:misc_RNA from 1 species
GAUGAAGAACGCAGUGAAAUGCGAUAAGUAAUGUGAAUUGCAGAAUUCAGUGAAUCAUCGAAUCUUUGAACGCACAUUGCGCCCGCCAGUAUUCUGGCGGGCAUGCCUGUUCGAGCGUCAUUUCAACCCUCAGGCCCCCAGUGCCUGGCGUUGGGGAUCGGCGCGGCGCCCUCCGGGGCGCUGCCGGCCCCGAAAUUCAGUGGCGGUCUCGCUGUAGCCCUCCUCCGCGUAGUAGCACAACCUCGCGGCCUGGAGCUCGGCGGUGGCCAUGCCGUAAAACACCCCACUUCUGAAAGUUGACCUCGGAUCAGGUAGGAAUACCCGCUGAACUUAAGCAUAUCAAUAAGCGGAGGA